rnacentral:rRNA from 1 species
UCCAGACUCCUACGGGAGGCAGCAGUGGGGGAUAUUGCACAAUGGGGGGAACCCUGAUGCAGCGACGCCGCGUGGGUGAAGGAGCGUUUCGGCGCGUAAAGCCCUAUCGGCAGGGAAGAAGGAGGACGGUACCUGACUAAGAAGCCCCGGCUAACUACGUGCCAGCAGCCGCGGUAAUACGUAGGGGGCAAGCGUUAUCCGGAUUUACUGGGUGUAAAGGGGGCGCAGACGGCAGCGCAAGCCAGGAGUGAAAGCCCGGGGCCCAACCCCGGGACUGCUCUUGGAACUGCGCGGCUGGAGUGCAGGAGGGGCAGGCGGAAUUCCUGGUGUAGCGGUGAAAUGCGUAGAUAUCAGGAGGAACACCGGUGGCGAAGGCGGCCUGCUGGACUGCGACUGACGUUGAGGCCCGAAAGCGUGGGGAGCAAACAGGAUUAGAUACCCGGGUAAG